CACGUAGGGCGCAAGCGUUUGUCCGGAAUUAUUGGGCGUAAAGAGCUCGUAGGCGGUCUGUCACGUCGGCUGUGAAACCCGAGGCUCAACCUCGGGCCUGCAGUCGAUACGGGCAGACUAGAGUUCGGUAGGGGAGACUGGAAUUCAUGGUGUAGCAGUGAAAUGCGUAGAGAUCAUGAGGAAGACCAGUGGCGAAGGCGGGUCUCUGGACAGUUCCUGACACUGAGACACGAAGGCCAGGGGAGCAAACGGG
rnacentral:rRNA from 1 species